GCCCGCGCUCAAAGGUUCAGCCCCUUUCAGUUGCUGAUAACCUUGUCACGUCUCCAGAUAAAAGCCAGCCUUGUCACCCCCGGGCACCUGGUUGAGAGGUAAUAAAACAGUAGCCUUAUCUUCUAAGGGUGGAGUUCGUCCAAUUUCAGCCCGAGGCCGGAUGCCUUCCACACAAAAGAGCUCCUGUCGACAUCUCAUUUACAAUCUCCCCCAGGACACAGACAGGACCAUUUCCAUAAACCCGGCUCAGAAACACCUAUUGUUCAAAAUCUUCAACGAGCCACAGGCUACCACCGCUCCCUAUUGUUUUGUAAAAGAAAAGAUUUAGAAGGAGCCAGAUUGGGACUCUGGAGGCUCUGAAAAGAGGAUGGAAAAAAGUCCCUUUGACCCGAUGCUGUCGGAGAACGUGCGUGAAGAAUAAAGUUAAUGGAUCUUCAUUUUUACAAGAAGUGCGUAAGCAACGCCGGUUCUUUUCCUGAGCUAGCGCUCGGGCAUUCUAACAGCGGUGCCAAGUUUGUAAAGAAGUUAACUCUUGCCAAUGGGUUUGCUACAUGAAAAGUCAAAGGCUAUACUUACCCUAUUCUCAGCCUUACAAAAGCUCUGAGGGCAGCCACAGCAAAGCGCCAGAUCCUAUUCUCUCCUCCGGAGGAUGACAGCAACCUCCUACCUCAGCGUUCCUCAGACUACGCGUUGUGACUUACUGACGGCUCAUGAAAGCAGUUGAGGUGGAUCAUGCAGUUACACCAUUGAAAAGUGAAAUAGAUUAGAAAACGUCAGAGUGCACCAAACAAAGGAAAAGUAAGUUUGGUUUCAGGACACUUGUUUCAGUGUGUGUGUCCCCAGAUCUGUGUACAUUCUGGGUUAACAGGUAAAAUGUAUCUUGUUUGGCAGAAGAGUUUGAGAAAUACUUUUCUAAUUGGUCUUACUGGGUCUGUCUUGUCCCUCCCUCCAAAUUGCUGUACACGCUCAGAGCAGCCGGGGGAGAUUCUGAACUUCUGAACAGAUCCAGCUGACAGCUCUGCCCUCAGGAUAAAGACCUGCAUCUAGGGCUUUGGAGAUUCUGAAUUACUUGGUUUCUCAUCUUUCAGGUCUCCAAACGUCACAUGCUCCCGACCACUUUUCCUGUUAGCUGUUCAGGCCAUCAAGUUCCCUGGCCUUUGCAGAUGGAAGUCCCCCGUGGGAACAUUUUGUUCUCUUUCUCCUUCAGGUUAUCAGCUGAGGUGUCACCUCUUCCAGGAAGGCUUCUGGAAGUCCCUCUAAAUGCCUCCUCUUUGUUCUCAGAAGAACACCUCACGUUUUAUCUGACAGAGCACUUACUGCAUGAUUAUCUUCUCAAUUCCUUACUGGACUUUAAGCUCCAAGGGGCAUCCAGUAUAUAUUUGUUGGGGGUAAAUAUUGUGCAUCAAGUAUGUCACAUCUUACACGGCUCACACUUCCUUCCUACAAACCCAUUUGGAUAGCCGUAAUAUAUUGUAUCUCUGUCUCUCAAAGCUUAAGUUGUCAUUCUUUUACACUGAAAGGUCUCUUGUUCAUUUGCUCUUCAAACACAGCCUAAUUAAUUUCCAAAUUCACUGGACUCCUGCUCUUACAAAUCAAAAUAAUAAAACUCAGGGAAAGCUGUUGUACCCUUGGCUGGUCACUCACCCUCUCUGAGCCUCAGAUAAUACAGAGGAGCAGAGCUCAAUGAUCUCUAAGAUCUCUUCCAUGCUGCCACUCUGAACCUCUAGCUUGAACUGCCAAAGGACCAGAGAGGUUAAGUGACUUUUCCAAGGUCUAACAGCCCUCUAGUGGCAGGAUACUGUUUGACUUUCUAUACAUUUUUAACAGCAAGCUGCAAACAAACAAAACAACCUUCUACCCAGAAACCGGUAGUGCCACUAACAAGUAUGCCUCAAAGAGAAUCAUAAGAUUAAAGAAUGAAAAAGGGGACUUAUAAAAACCAAAGCCAACAGCAUUCAUAACAGAUUCUUGCCCAGGCAGGUCCCAACAUUUUUAAAAACAAUCUUGCACUUAGAUGCAGAGAUGUUCAGAUUUCCUUUGAAAAACUGGAAGUGAAAAAUUAAAGAAUCUUGUGCAUCCUAACCCUUGUAGAGGCCCUUCUGCAGAGGCACAAAUGGACACACAGCCGUCCUUAAGGUGCCAAUUCGAGCAUCCCAGUGGCUUUUUUUCAGUGCUGAGGCCCCCAGGCCUUGACCUGAUGCCACCUGAGGACCAAAGCUGUAACUCACCAGGAUGAGACUUGGCCUCAGGUCCUGUACCCCAUCCCCCACCCCUCCCAGCCAGAACAGCCCUGCAGUCCCCGGUCUCAAGGACAGAUUUGUGUUACAUCCUUAGCUACAAAGUUUGGGGGUAAGAUAACCUGCUCAAUGAAAUAGAAAGUCACCAAACCAGAAAUAUACCCCUUUGGGGAAAAAACAGAAACAACAGUGAUACUGCUCGCCCCCCCAUAUUAUGUGCUAUGUUUUACUCUAAUGUAAGUCAGCGUGUACUUUUGUUUUAUUUGUUGCUUUUUCCCCUCUAAACCAACCAGCGGUAGCUUUCCUUCAUUUGACAGAAAAUGUAAGUCACUUUCUACUGCAGCUCUGUGUAAAACCACUAUGUGCUGUGAGGACCCCACCCAGCACCAAGCUGUUAUAGCCAAGUGGGCUUACAGAUGAUUUUUACUGUAUUCUUUGCACUUCUUGGAAUUUUCCAAUUAAAAAAAAAAUGGACACGUGUUACUAUUGUAAUCAUUACAAAAGUGCAAAUGUCAAAAUAAAGAUCAGAUACACUCUUAUUUCUUCACUGCUAUGAUGCUUGACUAAAUUAGUUUUAUUUUUACCAUAUGUGUUGCUGUGUAUUUUGCCUUUUUUUUAACCAUUUAUUUUUGAAGGAAAUUUUAUACAACUGCCACAUUUAAAAACAAAAAACAAAAACCUCUUGACACUGUUGAUAAUUUACUGUCUUUAAAAGCUUAAGGAAUACAUACCUGUAAGACACAGCCAAACACUGGCAUAUAACUCCCUUACCACCUGGCUGCAGUGUUAAUUAUGUUUCUCCUGACAUUUUCACACCUAACAACUUAUUUCCAGAAUACCAUCUUUUUUCAUGCCUUUAUGCCCGUGGCAGGCAUUGUUGUUUGCUUUCUCAUAACCACCUUCGUUGCUAACAGGGCCUUUCCAAGCAGCCUUGACUUUUCAGCGAGGUGAGCCUCUCCCUAGACUUGGAGGCUGAAUCUUCAUUGUUCUACAAGACAGGGAUGAGAAGGGAAUUCUGAUAUGAGUGCUUCGUGGAAAGUUAACCUCGCUUUUUAAAGUGACACAAGUCAGGGACAUCCCUUUUCUUCCUCUGGACAUUGUCAUCAGAGAAGGAUACCCUGAACUGUGGCUGCCAUCUGGGGACCACGAGGUGCCUCUACUCCAGAAGACAGAAGGAUGGCACGAAGCUGGUUUUUCUCCAUUCAUUGACUGCCCUACCUCUAGACUUGCUAUUAUGGGAGAAAAUAAAUGCCUUUACCAUCU